ensembl:lncRNA
GUACUUGUAUUUAAUCGUGGGUGUUUUUGUUAUUUCUGUAAUUCACAACACAUGAGGCCAUUCUGGGAGAACCUGAAUCACUAGGAGGCAAAGAGCCAUCAUCCUAUUUCCCACCCAGCUCUGGCUCCAUCAAUACCCCUUCCUGGGACACCACGCUGGGGGUGGCAGCUCAGAUUCCCUGAUGAUGAGAAGCAGCCCAAACGCCCAAGCUUUGAGGGGAAGAGGUCUCCCUGCUUUCUUUCAAGAGGGGAUAGGGUACCAACAGCUGGGCUCAAAGGCCCUUCUUCGCUGGGAGCUGAGCAAAGGCAGAGGAGACGUUGUGGGACCACCUAGUCCAGCACCGGCCCAGAUGACUUCUCCUCCUGGUUCCACGGUGGGAAGGCACGGCCAGGAACCACAGCCAAGCUAGAAAUAGCAUCUGGGUUGCUGGGUUCCAGCAUCCAUGCCGGAUCUGUGAGUCAGCCUGUCAACAGCACUGAUAAGGUGCGCACCGAGCCUUGCUAGGCCCAGGCAGAGUGACCCAGGACGGAGGACACCCUGUCCCCACCAGGCCUGGAAGCAUCUGACCGGGACUCUCCAGAACUGACCAAUUCAGAAAUGAGUUCUGAAGGGCCAAGGGAAAAUCAGCAGUGUUUUGAAGAAUUCUUCAGGAGGAAAUGGUGACAGGUCCUUUUCCACCCCAUCGUCUCCGGAACCGAGGGACGAGACGCCGGAGUUCAGCUGCAGCGGGAGGGCUCGGUGUUAGACGUGAGGAAAGUUUUCCAGACAGAGGAAUGCGUGUCUGUCACUGAGAGGAUGUUGGGACAUUGCUGAAGAGUGAAUGUGUCUGCCCGGUUCUGUGUGGUGAGGGGCAGAGCCCUGGAUUCCAGGGACCCCCUGGCUGGGGAGGCCGUGAUAACAGCGUUCUGUUUUGUUUUGAAAUUCCUAGUUGUUAGGCUCCUGUCAUCACAGCUGUUCCUUAGAAUCACCCUAUUUGGCAGGAGAGCACGGCCUUUCGAGUCCUCCUGACCAAUUCCGGCCUCCCCAGCCUCUUUCUCCUCAUCUGUGUUUAGGAAAUGCCUCCCCGGUCACCUCUUCCUCUCCAGCUCACAGAUUCCAAGGGAGGAACAAUGGCCAUCAAGGGCGUGUCUGGCUGAGCUGUUUUUCUUUUCCUUUUUCUUCACGGACUUCAUUCACUUCCAUGUAUAUUCUCAGCAGCCAGGCCAAUCCUCCUCCACACGAGGCUGAUGUCAGCAAACCCAGGAAGCUUUCCAAGCCAAGAAGGCCUCCGACUCAGGAGGACGCGGUCAUGGAUCCCCUGGCCAAAGCGCUCUGUGUCCACAGGACGUGGGAGGAUGUGACCUCAGGAGUGGCUGCCCAGAGGCCACAGGCUGCUCGCCGGCUGCAGCCAGUCCAGGAGAUCGACUUCCUCAAAGCAAAGCCAGUGGAAGAUGGCUGCCCAUUUCCUGAGACUUUAGGGGCACAAGCUGAACAAACGCCACCUGCCAUUGCUCUGCCUACGUUGAAGUGGAAUCGAAAGAAAGCAAAUCUGAGACUUCCCUGGCUGUCCAGUGGUUAAGACUUCGCCUUCCAAUACAGGACGUAUGGGUUCAAUCCCUGGCUGGGGAGCUAAGAUCCCACAUGCCACGUGGCCAAAAAUUCAAAUCAUAAAACAGAAACAAUAUUGUGACACAUUCAAUAAAGACUUUAAAGGGUGUCAGAAAAAUCUUUAAAAAAAGAAAGGCAAAUCAGAUCUCCUUGGAUUGCCUAAAGCACCCAUUCUUAUCUGUUCUGUCAGGAAUCUGUGCCCAAGACCAGCACCCUGCUUUCUUGAUAUUCACCCGCCGACUCCCGCAAACCAGCCCUGGCAUAGUCUACUCCACUGAACAUGGGCACCAAACCAUCCAAGACAUCUCCCAGCUUCCUCCCUCUCCGACAUCCCUCCUUUCUUUCUCAUCAACUUCACUACCAGUGUAUCUACAACUGCUCAGAUGCACAGCAACUGACCUAAAAGUGCUCACAUAUACCCCUUUCCCUGUGGGCAACAUUCUAC